rnacentral:rRNA from 1 species
UAAAGUUUAUGAGAUUAGGUAGUAAAGAAAUUUCUGAAACCUAAAGAAUUUGGCGGUAUUUAAAAUAAUUGGAGGAACCUGUUAUUUAAUUGACAAUCCACAACAUAUCUUUCCUAAAUUUUAUUUGUAUAUCGUCGUUUUGAUAAUAUUUAAAAAUUAUAAUCAAUAUUAAUAAAUUUUAAAAAAUCAGAUCAAGGUGCAGUAUAUCUAGGUUAUAAUGGGUUACAAUAUAUCUAUAUAUGAAAUGGAUAUUAAAUUAAAAUCAUAUUGAAAGUGGAUUCAAAAGUAAUAUUAAAUUAAAAUGUUAAUUUGAUUUAUAAUUUUAAAUAUGC